GCUAUACCGGAUAACAACAGAUGAUGCCUAUCAACUGUUUAAAGUAUGUUCUGCUAUCACUCUUGGAUGGACCUGCGUGCAUUAGCUAGUGGUAGGGGUAACGGGCCUACCAAGGCGAUGAUACAUAGCCCGAGUUGAGAGACUGAUCGGCCACAUUGGGGACUGAGACACGGGCCCAAACUCCUACGGGAGGCAGCAGUAGGGAAUCUUCCACAAUGGACGCAAGUCUGAUGGAGCAAACGCCGCGUGAGUGAAGAAGGGUUUCGGCUCGUAAAAAGCUCUGUUGUUGGUGAAGAAGGACAGGGGUAGUAACUGACCCUUUGUUUGACGGUAAUCAAUUAGAAAGUCACGGGCUAACUACGUGCCAGCAGCCGCGGUAAAU
rnacentral:rRNA from 1 species